UUUAAUUUUAAAUGAUAAUAAAAUAUAUAAAUGUUAUCUUUUUUGUGUCUCACAGUGGAGGAAAUGACACAAUAUUCAUCUAUCUGGCAGAUCAUGGUGGUUCAGGCAUAUUUACUUUUCCUAACAGCACUCUUCACGCCCAUGAUUUCAUUGAAACAAUCAAGGAAAUGGCAAGAGAUAACAAGUUCUCAAAGAUGGUGAUAUACAUGGAAUCCUGUCAUUCCGGAUCGAUGUUCACCAAACUUCCUAACGACCUUCAUGGUAAGAAGGGGAAUUAUAUUAAACUAUAAUGAAAUUAUAUAUUUUAUAUAUAUAUACAUACACACACUGUGUUUUCUAGUGUAUGCUGUGACUGCAGCGAGAGCAGAUGAGAGCAGUUAUGCCUGUUAUUUUGACAUUAAGAGGGAGACCUUUCUCUCUGAUGAAUUCUCAGCUCUUUGGAUGUGCUACAUGGAAGCGGUUUGUCUUAGUGUGAUUUGAGUCAAAUAUAGAAUUAUGCUAUCAAAUAAGACUAUAAAUAAAAAACAUUUUAUUUCUCAGAAUGACCUUGAUAAUAAAACAUUCCGGGAUCAGUUUAGUUAUCUUCAGGAAGAGAUGACGAAGUCUCACUCCGGGCGUUUUGGGGACAUGAAAAUGGGUGAACAUCCAAUCAGUGAGUUUGUGAAUAACACCCCUCGAAGAGUUCGGGACGAGACAAGAGCUCAGCGGUUUGCGUUAACUCAUUUGACCUCUAACCAUGAAGUGCCAUUCAAAAUCUUGGAACACCGAAUUAGAACAGAAACUCAUACAGGCAGGAGACAACGUCUGAAAAGAAAACAUGAAGCUCUUCGUCAGGCUAAAGCUCAAAUUGAAGGAACAGUUGAAGCUAUCAGUCAGCAAUUUGGUUUUAAACAUGAUGAUUUGGAUGAAGAUUAUUGUAAGAUGGAUUUACGUGCACUCAAAAGUGUAGCUGAGCAUUUCAAGGCAACCUGUUUUGACUGGGACAAGGAAGAGAGUUUCACACAUUUCCAUAUCGCCUCGUCACACAUGCAUGUAUUUGCUUGUCUUUGUGCACAUGGAGUUGCAGCAGAGAGGUGUGUCCAUCACAAAGGCUGAAUCCUGACUGGCAGAGGAGGAGCUGGGGAUGGAGGAGGGUCAUUAGCUAUUGAGCAACGCGAAAACUGCUGAUAAUACUGAGGGACCUUAUAUAUGAAUGCUUAGACAGGUGUCACAUCCCUAUAGGUAGACGUCCCCUGCGUCCGACGAAACUGUCUAUAGCCCCGUAGCUGAGUUAGUGUUUGUUUG
rnacentral:lncRNA from 1 species